CAGCGACUCAGAACUGCUCGGGUCCCUCUCAGAGCCCCUGCUGCCCGAUGCCUCCCUGCCCUGUCCAGUUCCCUGCUGCCCUCCUCGGUCCCAACUGUGGAAACUUCUCUGCGGCUUCUCAGCUUCACAAGAAAGGGCUCAUGCUUUACAGGCCUCCAGCUCUCUUCUCUUCUUGGUGGUGAACUAACACAGCACAUUGCUUGGGUUUGAGCUUUAGACUAUCAAGCUGCUCCUGCCUGGCUGUUGGGGAUUUGUGGAGAGCAACCUUCCAAUCACAUGAUGUGUGAUUUUGAAAGGCAUCUCUGAGGUGAUUUUGAAAACCAGUUCAGGAAGCUGGAAAGGAACAGUUCCUAGAAUCCUGUGUGGCUGCUGGGUGCCAAGAUGGACCUGAGUGACAAUAAUCAAAGAACCCAUCCAAAAUGGCAGCUGCACACAUGGCCCCAGGGAUACAGAUACUGCAGUGAAUUCUCUGCCAGGCUGGGAAAUCAUCUCCUGUAGUCACCUCAUCUGCAAGCAGGUUCUUGUGCAUGCUCUGAGAGACCAACUAUACAAACGGACGAUGGCCAGAAUCCAUGCGAAGACAGAGCUGUGACCCACAACCUGCAGCGAUCAGUCCAAUAACCUCUCCUCCCAUAGCAAUCAGACCCAAACUGCUAGAACCUCAUUAAUAGCUGAUGUCUCCUCUAGUUUUUGUCCCUAAUUCGAACUUUGGACCAACAAGAGAAAGCCACCUAGCCACUUGCACAGUCCACUGGGCUUCUGGUCACUACUCCUAAUUUCCCUAUCCCAACAACUUCCAAUCACACAUUGAGCCUUCCUUGUUUCCACUAUCAAGCUGUUCCACUUC